rnacentral:lncRNA from 1 species
UAAUAAGUAAUAACUAAUAACUAUUAGUUACUUUGUGGACCCCAUCUUUAUUGUGUUUUGAAAUUCCAUUCAUGUCCACUAAGUGUUGUGCUCUAGGGUGUAGAACGGGCAAUGACAACGAGCCACAACAGUCUGGCGUUACUAUCCAUCUGUGGCCAAACAAAGAGAGAAAACAUGGACUUGAUACAGCCUUGCUGAGAGCCAUUCCAAGAGAAACAGAUCUGAAGAAGACAGAUUAGGCACAAUAUAUAAGUACAAAGCUAUGAUUGCUGCAUUUCAACGAAUCUGGUUUCAUCUGUGAGUCUAAAAGAAGUCUACCCUUGCCAAGGCUCUAAAGAAGAGGUACCUCAAACCAGAUGUAGUACCAUCCCUAUGGCCAAACUGCCCAAACUCAACUCCUAAAGCUUCAUCAAGAUCAACUCAGGCUGCGACCACGUCAUAUAGGGCUCAACAGUUCAACGAAAUGAGUUCUGCAGAAGAACUUGGUGACAAAUUGGCCAAGGAGACACUCCCACUCAACUUCAUCCUCAUCACAAAACCAAGUGCUGCCCUUUUAAAGCUAUCCCAUGAUGAGAAAUUGGGCCCCCAAGUAGUAGCCAGCAUCCAGUUUGAGACAGAUAUGUCAUUCAAAAUGUACCACUCUGGUGUGUUGAUUGACAAAAAGGCAGUAUCACACAUCACCUCAGAAGGCAAGGUCAACACUGUGAUUCAAGCCAUCAAUUUGGCUUCCUUUCUGGGAGCAGAAGAAGAAUUGAAUCAAACAGAGACCUGGGAAGACAUUUUCAACAAGUUAGUGAAGUUUCUCAACUCCUCAGAGAUUGAACCGAAGCAAGCUUCUAAGCUCUCUUUCAUUCGUGAGCAAAUGGCUCUCCUCUUCACCAAACCAACAGCUAGAUAAUAUUUACCUUUUCUUCUAUCAACCGCACUCAUGUGGGAGAAUGUGGGAUCAGGACUAUGUAGAAUAUCCAACUAAUAUAACAACUAAGUGGAGGUAUCUACCACAUCAGCGUGAGACAGAUCCUGGAAGCAGAGAAAAAGAUUCUUAUUCUGAGUCUUGUCAAAUUCUCAGGUCUGACUACUUCAGAAAUUAAAGGUCUGCUGGAUGAAGACCUGGUAAAAGCUGAGCUCAUUUUGACUAACUGGCAACCAGAUGGCCUCCAGGAACUAGCUUCUCAGGGAAAGAGUAAUGCUCUUUACUUUGUUGCCGGGUAUAUUGGUUUUUCUUUGAAGAAAAAUAUCAGCUGUACAUCAUGCCAAGAGUUAAUGGUCAUCAGAGACACACCUACGGACUCAAUAACCUUAGAUAGCCCAACUAAUCAGCAUGUAGACCUGAAAGAGUUCAUCGACAUAAUGAGCAGAGGGGGGUUGUCGACUCCAUUUGACCUUCUCUACCUCUCCUGUCUUUAUGCUCACUCCAUGUUCUGUUACAUCACAGCUACUCCUGAAGAGAAAGACAGUUUACUUAGCACCCCAAAUCCUAGAGCUUCAUUUGUUGCCAGAUUCAUUGAAAGGAUGCAGGACAGUUUAAACUCUGACAUUAUCGCUGUUGUGGGAGUAAAGUGCGAGGAAGGACACUCCUGGUUCUUCAAAGAAUUUCAUUUGCUUUAUUUAAUGUCAUGGGUAACAAUUUCAGUGCUAAACUGAAUGAUGACAUCCGAUUUUUAACAAAAAGAGAA